UACGUAGGGCGCAAGCGUUGUCCGGAUUCACUGGGUGUAAAGGGUGCGCAGGCGGGAGUGCAAGUCAGCGGUGAAAUCUCACGGCUCAACCGUGAAACUGCCGUUGAUACUGCAUUUCUUGAGUUAGGGAGAGGUUGAUGGAAUUCCAGGUGUAGCGGUGAAAUGCGUAGAUAUCUGGAAGAACACCGGUGGCGAAGGCGGUCAACUGGCCCUCAACUGACGCUGAGGCACGAAAGCGUGGGGAUCAAACAGG
rnacentral:rRNA from 1 species